GCAUGAUUCAAAUUGAAUUUCUUUUGAUUAAUGUAUGGCAGAAAACAAGUGUGGGGGGAAGCGUGAGUUAUUAUGCUUGUUGAAAAGAAAAGAAGAGUUGAGAAAGAAAAAAAAAAAAAAAAAAAAAGGAGUUGAAAAAUAUGUGAAAAAGAGUUUUAAAGUGCUGCUUGUUGAAGAAAGGGUCCAAAACAUAGAAUUCGGCCCUAAAUAUUGCUUGAAUUUUCCCUUCGUGUCUAAAAGCUGAUUUCUGCAAUCUAAGUGAAUUCUAAGUUUCAAUUUCAUUACUUUGCUUGCUAUUGCUUUAAGAACGAUUGUUAUCCCUAUCCUUCAUUUGUUAACCAAUACCCCAAAGCCCCAUUACAACCCUUAACUUCGAUCUUGAGUGUUAUGUAUUUCAAUUUGUGGAGUUUGAAUUUGGCAUGAGCCUAUGGUGUCACUGGUUCUUGCGUCUAAGUAAUAGCAUUCCAUUCAUGAGAUCAUAUCUAAACAUGCUUAUUAACUCCAGAAAUUGCGUUCUUUGUGAUACAUAUAUGUGAGUGUUCGUUUUCAUAUCUACAUCAAUCUUCUCACAUAUAACUAGUAUAGGGUGUGUAGUUAGAAAAUCUAAGUGAAAAUUGAGUGCAUACUUUGUGAGGAAUUGAGUAAAUUCUCUAAGGCAUGUUACUACAUCAAAAACAUUAUUUUAAUCGAUUAAUUGUGAACAAGUAAGUGGUGACUAU
rnacentral:lncRNA from 1 species